CUCGCUGGCCAGUGCAAAUCAUUUACAACAGAGCCUCGGGGUCACUGUAUCCGUGCGGACAACUGUUAACCCCCAUCCACUCUCCUUUCCUUUCAUUACUUGUCUCUUCAAGGAGACAGUCGAGAGAAGGAGACGUCUUCGUAUAAAAAAAAAAAAAAAAAAAAGGGAAUGGAAGCCUGUGUUUUUCUCUUGGGGGACAUCAUAAUGAUUUGAUUUACUGGCGGUCAUUUGAUCAACAGCGUACGCUCCACUCCCUAAACACACACACUCCUCCUCGAGAAACUAUCAGCGGCAGACGCACGCGAGAAGGUGCAGGCUGCCGGACAUCUCGGGGCUGGAAUCACAUUUAUUCUCAUUAGACUGCGAUAGUGUCAGCUGGAGGCAGGGGAGGCACGAGCCAGGGUCAUAAAAACUACCUCACUACCUCUUCCCGCCAUUACCUCAUACAGAUCACAUCACACCCAGUCAGCCAAUCUCCAGUCAACGCCGAAGCUGCACAUUGGUGUAUGUUUUCAAUGUGCAUCUUUUUUUUUUUUUUUUUUUUUUUUUUUGCCGGUCACUUUUACCGGCUACUUGUCAAACUACCAAACAGGGAAGGAAAUGGCCUGUCGUCAGCCUUCAAACAUAAAGCAAUUUCUAACAGGUUUUGAGGUUGGCGACAGCGGAGGUCAAUAGAGAUGGCUCCACGAGAUGAACUGGCUCGCUCCCCCGAGACAUGCGUUCUCGGUGAGGCCCAGUGAUAGAUGAAGUGUGUGAGGGAUCGGUUCGGGCCCGUGUUCAAUCAAACUUCAUGGCUUACAUUACAGUGGAUGAGGCAUGGGCACUUCAUGGGACCUGUUUUAUGUUCUGUAGGUCCUGGAGCAUGGCAUUGUUUGCACUGAUUUGGUGAUAUUGCAUUACUUGCCCACCAAUGGAUUCUCUGCAGUGAAUGGGUGCCAUCAGAAUGAGAAUCCAAACAGCUGAUAAAAACAUUAAAUAAUCCACAUGACUCAUGUCCAUCAAUUAAUAUCUUAUGAAAUGAAAAGCUGUGUUUUUG